UACGUAGGUGGCAAGCGUUGUCCGGAUUUAUUGGGUUUAAAGGGUGCGUAGGCGGCUUUUUAAGUCAGUUGUGAAAUAUCUCGGCUUAACCGAGAGGGUGCGAUUGAUACUGGGAAGCUUGAGUUACAGCGAGGUCAGCGGAAUUGAUGGUGUAGCGGUGAAAUGCAUAGAUAUCAUCAAGAACACCGAUAGCGAAGGCAGCUGACUAGGAGUACACUGACGCUGAGGCACGAAAGUGCGGGGAUCAAACAGG
rnacentral:rRNA from 1 species